rnacentral:rRNA from 1 species
GACGAACGCUGGCGGCGCGCUUAAUACAUGCAAGUCGAGCGAGAACCUGGGCUUCGGCCCAGGGGAAAGCGGCGAACGGGUGAGUAACACGUGGGUAAUCUGCCCUCGGCACCGGGAUAGCCCGGGGAAACCCGGAUUAAUACCGGAUAGCCUCUCGAGCCUUCGAGCUCGCGAGAAAAGGUAGCUUCGGCCUCCAGCCGAGGAGGAGCCCGCGGCGGAUUAGCUUGUUGGCGGGGUAACGACCCACCAAGGCGACGAUCCGUAGCUGGUCUGAGAGGACGAUCAGCCACACUGGGACUGAGACACGGCCCAGACUCCUACGGGAGGCAGCAGUAGGGAAUCUUGCGCAAUGGGCGAAAGCCUGACGCAGCGACGCCGCGUGCGGGAAGAAGGCCUUCGGGUUGUAAACCGCUUUCAGGAGGGAAGAAGCCACUCGGGUUAAUAGCCCAGAGGGUGACGGUACCUCCAGAAGAAGCCCCGGCUAACUACGUGCCAGCCGCCGCCGUAA